AUGCGUCGGGUCCAGUGAACCGUUC
rnacentral:piRNA from 1 species